UACGACUACAUAUCAGGCAUAUCAAUAAGCGGAGGAAAAGAAACUAACAAGGAUUCCCUUAGUAACGGCGAGUGAAGCGGGAAGAGCUCAAAUUUGAAAUCUUAAAGGGUUUCCCUUUACGAAUUGUAGUUUAAAGAAGUGUUUUCUGUUGGAGUUUCGGUAAAAGUUCUUUGGAAUAGGACAUCAUAGAGGGUGAGAAUCCCGUAUUUGACCAUUACUUCCAGCGUUGUGAUACACUUUCAACGAGUCGGAUUGUUUGGGAAUGCAGUCCAAAAUGGGUGGUAAAUUUCAUCUAAAGCUAAAUAUUGGCGAGAGACCGAUAGCGAACAAGUACCGUGAGGGAAAGAUGAAAAGAACUUUGAAAAGAGAGUUAAACAGUACGUGAAAUUGUCAAAAGGGAAGCGUUUGACACCAGUGUUGUUUUCUCGAAAAUCAAUUAAAAAGUAUGGGAUUUUGUAUUGUUAAGACCUUAUCAGCUUACGGUACUUUUUUCUUAUUCUUUUUAAUGCACUUUUCGUUAAACAAGUCAACAUCAAUUUCUUUUGUUGUAAAAGGAGUCAUUGGAAGGUGGCUUUCACUUCGGUGAAAGUGUUUAUAGCCUUUGACUUCUGCAAUCGGAGAGAUUAAGGUCUGCAGCGUAGAUCCUUCGGGGUUAGAUACAUUUGUGCUAAGUUAUAGCUUUUUCAUAGACAACAUGUUGACUAUGAUUAGUCUUGUAGCUUACUCGCUUAUGCUAUUUUACCUACGCUUAGGAUGUUGAAUCUGUGCGAGACUAC
rnacentral:rRNA from 1 species